GACGAACGCUGGCGGCGUGCCUAACACAUGCAAGUCGAACGAGGGGCGGACGGGUGCGUAACACGUGGGCACCUACGCGUCAGAGGGGGAUAACCCUUGGAAACAGGUGCUAAUACCGCAUACUGUUGGAUGGACCCGUGGUGCAUUAGCUAGUGGGUGGGGUAAAGGCCCACCUAGGCGACGAUCCCUAGCUGGUAUGAGAGGAUGACCAGCCACACUGGAACGGAGACACGGUCCAGACGCCUACGGGAGGCAGCAGUGGGGAAUAUUGCACAAUGGGCGCAAGCCUGAUGCAGCCAUGCCGCGUGUAUGAAGGAGGCCCUAGGGUUGUAAAGGACUGUCAGUCGGGAGGCGUUACCGACAGAAGAAGCACCGGCUAACUCCGUGCCAGCAGCCGCGGUAAUUC
rnacentral:rRNA from 1 species